rnacentral:rRNA from 1 species
CAGCAGGCGCGAAAACUCUACAAUGCAGGCAACUGCGAUAGGGGAACAUCGAGUGAUCCUCAUAUUGGGGGUCUGUCCACUCGCCUAAAAAGCGGGUGUUAGCAAGGGCCGGGCAAGACCGGUGCCAGCCGCCGCGGUAAUACCGGCGGCUCGAGUGGUGGCCGAUAUUAUUGAGUCUAAAGGGUCCGUAGCCGGCUUUGCAAGUCUCUCGGGAAAUCCAGCGGCUUAACCGUUGGUCGUCCGGGGGGUACUACAUUGCUUGGGACUGGGAGAGGUAGGAGGUACUCAGGGGGUAGGAGUGAAAUCCUGUAAUCCUUUGGGGACCACCGGUGGCGAAGGCGUCCUACCAGAACAGGUCCGACGGUGAGGGACGAAAGCUAGGGGCACGAACCGGAUUAGAUACCCGGGUAGUCCUAGCCGUAAACGAUGCUCGCUAGGUGUCACAACAGUCGUGAACUGUUGUGGUGCCGUAGGGAAGCCGUGAAGCGAGCCACUUGGGAAGUACGACCGCAAGGUUGAAACUUAAAGGAAU